rnacentral:rRNA from 1 species
UCGAGGGAGGAGCCUUCGGGCUUCGACCGGCGUACGGGUGCGUAACGCGUAUACAAUCUGCCUUUCACAUAGGGAUAGCCCGAAGAAAUUUGGAUUAAUACCUAAUGGUAUAUAGGGAUGGCAUCAUUUUUAUAUUAAAGCUGAGGCGGUGAAAGAUGAGUAUGCGUUCUAUUAGCUAGUUGGAGAGGUAACGGCUCCCCAAGGCGACGAUAGAUAGGGGUUCUGAGAGGGAUAUCCCCCACACUGGUACUGAGAUACGGACCAGACUCCUACGGGAGGCAGCAGUGAGGAAUAUUGGACAAUGGUCGGAAGACUGAUCCAGCCACGCCGCGUGCAGGAAGACGGCCUUAUGGGUUGUAAACUGCUUUUGCAGGGGAAGAAUAAGGACUACGAGUAGUUUGAUGACAAUACUCUGCGAAUAAGCAUCGGCUAACCCCGUGCCAGCAGCCGCGGUAAUACGGAGGAUGCGAGCGUUAUUCGGAAUCAUUGGGUUUAAAGGGUCUGUAGGCGGGCUAUUAAGUCAGGGGUGAAAGGUUUCAGCUUAACUGAGAAAUUGCCUUUGAUACUGGUAGUCUUGAAUAUCUGUGAAGUUCUUGGAAUGUGUAGUGUAGCGGUGAAAUGCUUAGAUAUUACACAGAACACCGAUUGCGAAGGCAGGGGACUAACAGACAAUUGACGCUGAGAGACGAAAGCGUGGGGAGCGAACAGGAUU